UACGUAGGGUGCGAGCGUUAAUCGGAAUUACUGGGCGUAAAGCGUGCGCAGGCGGUUUUGUAAGCCAGAUGUGAAAUCCCCCGGGCUCAACCUGGGAAUGGCAUUUGGGACUGCAAGGCUUGAGUGCGGCAGAGGAGACUGGAAUUCCUGGUGUAGCAGUGAAAUGCGUAGAUAUCAGGAGGAAUACCGAUGGCGAAGGCAGGUCUCUGGGCUGACACUGACGCUCAUGCACGAAGCGUGGGAGCGAA
rnacentral:rRNA from 1 species